UACAGAGGGUGCGAGCGUUGUCCGGAAUCACUGGGCGUAAAGGGCGCGUAGGUGGCGCUCCAAGUCCGUGGUGAAAGCUCGAUGCUCAACAUCGAGUCGGCCACGGAGACUGGAGGGCUCGAGCACUGUAGGGGCAGAUGGAAUUCCGGGUGUAGCGGUGGAAUGCGUAGAGAUCCGGAAGAACACCGGUGGCGAAGGCGGUCUGCUGGGCAGUUGCUGACACUGAGGCGCGACAGCGUGGGGAGCAAACGGG
rnacentral:rRNA from 1 species